AAGGGGGCUAGCGUUGCUCGGAAUCACUGGGCGUAAAGGGUGCGUAGGCGGGUUUUUAAGUCGGGGGUGAAAUCCUGGAGCUCAACUCCAGAACUGCCUUUGAUACUGAAGAUCUUGAGUCCGGGAGAGGUGAGUGGAACUGCGAGUGUAGAGGUGAAAUUCGUAGAUAUUCGCAAGAACACCAGUGGCGAAGGCGGCUCACUGGCCCGGUACUGACGCUGAGGCACGAAAGCGUGGGGAGCAAACAGG
rnacentral:rRNA from 1 species